rnacentral:rRNA from 1 species
AUACGUAGGGGGCGAGCGUUGUCCGGAAUGAUUGGGCGUAAAGGGCGCGUAGGCGGCCCGGUAAGUCUGGAGUGAAAGUCCUGUUUUUAAGAUGGGAAUUGCUUUGGAUACUGCCGCGCUUGAGUGCAGGAGAGGUUAUCGGAAUUCCCGGUGUAGCGGUGAAAUGCGUAGAGAUCGGGAGGAACACCAGUGGCGAAGGCGGGUAACUGGACUGCAACUGACGCUGAGGCGCGAAAGUGUGGGGAGCAAACAGGAUUAGAUACCCUGGUAGUCCACACUGUAAACGAUGAAUGCUAGGUGUAGGAGGUAUCGACCCCUUCUGUGCCGCAGUAAACACAGUAAGCAUUCCGCCUGGGGAGUACGGUCGCAAGAUUAAAACUCAAAGGAAUUGACGGGG